rnacentral:rRNA from 1 species
CUCGAGGCCAGAUCUAGAGUUUGAUCCUGGCUGAGAACGAACGCUGGCGGCGCGCCUAACACAUGCAAGUCGAGCGAGAGGCCGUAGCAAUACGGUAGUACAGCGGCAAACGGGUGAGUAACACGUGGGUGACCUACCCUGGAGUGGGGAACAACCUGCUGAAAGGCGGGCUAAUACCGCGUACCCUGCCGAGUCCACGGGUUCGGCAGGAUAGCCGUACCGAGGGUACGGCGCUCCUGGAUGGGCUCACGGCCUAUCAGCUAGUUGGUAGGGUAACGGCCUACCAAGGCGACGACGGGUAGCUGGUCUUAGGGGACGAUCAGCCACACUGGCACUGCGACACGGGCCAGACUCCUACGGGAGGCAGCAGUGAGGAAUAUUGCGCAAUGGGCGAAAGCCUGACGCAGCGACGCCGCGUGGGGGAUGAAGGUCUUCGGAUUGUAAACCCCUUUCAGGAGGGAAGAUGGGGCGGGGCAACCCGUUCGGACGGUACCUCCAGAAGAAGCCACGGCUAACUUCGUGCCAGCAGCCGCGGUAAU